CUACGGGCCAGCAGCCGCGGUAAUACGUAGGGGGCAAGCGUUAUCCGGAUUUACUGGGUGUAAAGGGAGCGUAGACGGAAUGGCAAGUCUGAAGUGAAAUACCCGGGCUCAACCUGGGAACUGCUUUGGAAACUGUUGUUCUAGAGUGUUGGAGAGGUAAGUGGAAUUCCUGGUGUAGCGGUGAAAUGCGUAGAUAUCAGGAAGAACACCGGAGGCGAAGGCGGCUUACUGGACAAUAACUGACGUUGAGGCUCGAAAGCGUGGGGAUCAAACAGGAUUAGAUACCCUGGUAGUCCACGCUGUAAACGAUGAAUACUAGGUGUCGGGGUGCAAAGCAUCUCGGUGCCGUCGCUAACGCAAUAAGUAUUCCACCUGGGGAGUACGUUCGCAAGAAUGAAACUCAAAGGAAUUGACGGGGGCCCGCACAAGCGGUGGAGUAUGUGGUUUAAUUCGACGCAACGCGAAGAACCUUACCAGGUCUUGACAUUGAUGGACAGAACUAGAGAUAG
rnacentral:rRNA from 1 species